rnacentral:lncRNA from 1 species
CUCAAUUAUUAAGUAAUAAUAGAUUCUUUCUCCUGGAAUUUUAAUGGCACUUAAACCAAACAAAGCAGGUAAAGCACUUAGCCCACAAGAAGCAAGUGGACAAUCAAUGUUAGUCAUCAUAAGACUAAAAAUUAACUUAAGCAUCAAGACUGGAUUUCCAAGCAGAAUGUUCAUAUCUUUUUCUGUACGUAGACUGACUCAGCCUUGCCACAAUUUUGUGGGCGAAGUGGCAUCACUCCAGAGAAGAGUGCACAGCUUUUUUAUUUCGGAGCCACAAAGACAGAGUAAGCCAGGAGGAGGGAUGGAAGGUGAUGUUUUCAGCUGAAUUGAGUGCCCCAAUCCCCAGGGUGGCUUCUCUGAGUUAGAAAGAAGUCAGUGAUGACAGUCUUCUCAAGGAAUGGGAAUUAUGUCUCCCCUUAGCAACCUUACUCAAGGGCAGUAGGACCUCUGAGAAAGGGCUAGAUAAAGGUGUGAGAACUGACCACUUAGAAGUCUUCCUACACAGAGCACAGAGACACCCACUUCCUGAUGGAGGAGAUGACCUUAAAUAAUGACCAUCUCAGAAUAUACAAUGAUGGACCAAAGGCCAGAGGAUCUUUGUCUCAAUCUUCUAGAUGGGGAAAGUCUGUUGGGUGCUCUAAAGACCCUAGGGUGGCAUGGACAACCACCAAAACAUGAUCAAGUUUGAAAAUCCUACAAACCCUGUUGAAAAGGAACUGAAACUGAUUUAUCUAACUUAGAAAAAUAAACAUUGUGGUUUUUACA